ACGCAGGGCUGCCCGCAA
rnacentral:misc_RNA from 1 species